rnacentral:rRNA from 1 species
AACGCGAAGAACCUUACCUGGAUUUGACAUCUCUGGACAACCGUAGAGAUACGGCUUUCGUAGCAAUACGACCAGAAGACAGGUGCUGCAUGGCUGUCGUCAGCUCGUGUGGUGACAUGUUGGGUUAAGUCCCGCAACGAGCGCAACCCUUGUCCUUAGUUGCCAGCAUUCAGUUGGGCUCUCUAAGGAGACUGCCGUGGUUAACACGGAGGAAGGUGGGGAUGACGUCAAGUCCUCAUGGCCUUUAUAUCCAGGGCGACACACGUGAUACAAUGGGAGGUACAGAGGGAAGCCAAGGAGCGAUCCGGAGCUAAUCUCAAAAAGCCUCUCUCAGUUCGGAUUGGAGUCUGCAACUCGACUCCAUGAAGUUGGAAUCGCUAGUAAUCGCGGAUCAGCACGCCGCGGUGAAUACGUUCCCGGGCCUUGUACACACCGGAGUA